GAUGAACGCUGGCGGCGUGCUUAACACAUGCAAGUCGAACGAGAAGUGGAGACGGAAACCUUCUGGCGGAAGACUUUACUUCGAGUGGCGGCCGGGUGAGUAACGCGUGGGUAACCUGCCUCAUACAGGGGGAUAACAGUUGGAAACGACUGUUAAUACCGCAUCAGACCACAGCACCGCAUGGUGCGGGGGUAAAAACUCCGGUGGUAUGAGAUGGACCCGCGUUCGAUUAGCCGGUUGGCGGGGUAACGGCCCACCAAAGCGACGAUCGAUAGCCGAGCUGAGAGGAUGACCGGCCGCAUUGAGACUGGGACCCGGCCCAAACUCCUGCGGGAGGCAGCAGUGGGGAAUAUUGCACAAUGGGGAAACCCUGAUGCAGCGACGCCGCGUAAGUGAAGAAGUAUUUCGGUAUGUAAAGCUCUAUCAGCAGGGAAGAAAAUGACAGUACCUGAGGAAGAAGCCCCGGCUAACUACGUG
rnacentral:rRNA from 1 species